CCAACUCCUGCAACACAAGCCCCCAUUGGCACACAAUCAGACGGAAGUGAGAGGACACAAAGUUUCAACAUUAUUUUAUGUGACUUCUGGCAACCGUCGCCUCCUUGACUCUGACAAGUUCUGGCCCUUGUUUUUCCCCCACAACCAAAGCUAAAGAACUAAGCUGGAAUUUUUCACUUUCAGAGGAAGUGUACAAAGAGAAGGGUCUGUCAGAAGUGGAGGAUUUCUUCAAGUUUUUCCAGAGUAAGCUGGAUCCUAACCCGUGUCGCUGCAUGCUUUAUGACUGCCACUAUGAAACAAAGAACUUUGAUCAUCAUGAUGAGAUAGGCAAAUUUAAAAUUCUAUUUCUAGGCUUUUAACUGUAGAGAAAAAUGGUCUGACUAGCAAGCAUUCUUUGUGUGAGUAACUUGGAUUGCCAUUUUUUCUUUGCCAGGAUUCCUGAUACUGCAUCCAUCAAGCAACAACUGCAUUAUGCUAGCUCAAGAGAAACCCUUAUGCGUACCUUUGGAGGUGGGUAUUCAUUUUUAUUUUACUGCUUAAAUAUUUUACCUUUUGUGGUAUCUUUUUUGUAUAAGUCUUAUAAUUCAAACUCUUUAAACUCAACUGUAUUUCCCCGCAUUUCCCAUAUUUGACAGAACUACAUGCAUUCUAUUUCAGGUUUUCUUAUGUUGGCAUUCAGUUUGCACUUUGUUCCCUCUUGUUCUUUUGACACACACCAAACAUUAUUCAAUCCAUGAGAUUGAAGUGUUGGAUAAGAAUAUUUUUGCAGAAAUAUUGGGCAGAGGUGUCAUCAAAGUUGAA